rnacentral:rRNA from 1 species
AGGAUGAACGCUGGCGGCGUGCUUAACACAUGCAAGUCGAACGAUGACUUCUGUGCUUGCACAGAAUGAUUAGUGGCGAACGGGUGAGUAACACGUGAGUAACCUGCCCUUAACUUCGGGAUAAGCCUGGGAAACCGGGUCUAAUACCGGAUACGACCUCCUGGCGCAUGCCAUGGUGGUGGAAAGCUUUAGCGGUUUUGGAUGGACUCGCGGCCUAUCAGCUUGUUGGUUGGGGUAAUGGCCCACCAAGGCGACGACGGGUAGCCGGCCUGAGAGGGUGACCGGCCACACUGGGACUGAGACACGGCCCAGACUCCUACGGGAGGCAGCAGUGGGGAAUAUUGCACAAUGGGCGAAAGCCUGAUGCAGCGACGCCGCGUGAGGGAUGACGGCCUUCGGGUUGUAAACCUCUUUCAGCAGGGAAGAAGCGAAAGUGACGGUACCUGCAGAAGAAG